UACGUAGGGUGCGAGCGUUAAUCGGAAUUACUGGGCGUAAAGCGCGCGCAGGCGGUUUGUUAAGCAAGAUGUGAAAUCCCCGGGCUCAACCUGGGAACUGCGUUUGAAACUGGCAGACUAGAGUGUGUUAGAGGGGGGUAGAAUUCCACGUGUAGCGGUGAAAUGCGUAGAGAUGUGGAGGAAUACCGAUGGCGAAGGCAGCCCCCUGGGAUAACACUGACGUUCAUGUGCGAAAGCGUGGGGAGCAAACAGG
rnacentral:rRNA from 1 species